rnacentral:rRNA from 1 species
GCCUACGGGGGGCAGCAGUGAGGAAUAUUGGUCAAUGGGAGAGAUCCUGAACCAGCCAAGCCGCGUGAGGGAAGACGGCCCUAUGGGUUGUAAACCUGUUUUGUCGGAGAACAAAACCCGGGACGUGUCCCGGACUGCGUGUAUCCGAAGAAAAAGCAUCGGCUAACUCCGUGCCAGCAGCCGCGGUAAUACGGAGGAUGCGAGCGUUAUCCGGAUUUAUUGGGUUUAAAGGGUGCGUAGGCGGUCCGUUAAGUCAGCGGUAAAAUUGCGGGGCUCAACCCCGUCGACCCGUUGAAACUGGCAGA